rnacentral:rRNA from 1 species
UUAAAUGGCCGCAGUAUUUUGACUGUGCGAAGGUAGCAUAAUCAUUAGUUUAUUAAUUGUAAACUGGUAUGAAAGGCUACAUGAGAAUGGACUGUCUUUUUUAGUAUUAUGAAGUUAAGAUUUUUGUGAAGAUGCAAAAAUUGUUUUAGGGGACGAGAAGACCCUAUUAAGCUUUAUAUGUGAAUCCUGUGGAGGAAAUGAGAGGAGUAAAUAUUAUGUUGGGGCGACAGUAGAAGUUAACAUCUAUUAGGAAUUUAUAAUAUAAUUAUAGUUUUAAUGACCCAAAAUUUUUGGUUGAAAGAAUAAGUUACUGUAGGGAUAACAGCGUAAUUUCAUUGGAGAGUUCAUAUUGAUGAUGAAGAUUGCGACCUCGAUGUU